rnacentral:rRNA from 1 species
AGAGUUUGAUCAUGGCUCAGAACGUACGCUGGCGGCACGCCUAACACAUGCAAGUCGAACGAAGUAGCAAUACUUAGUGGCAGACGGGUGAGUAACAUGUGGGUAUCUACCCUUUGGCCUGGAAUAACACGAGGAAACUUGUGCUAAUACCGGAUAAGUCUUUACGGAGAAAGCUUUAUGCACCAUUGGAUGAGCCCGCACUUGAUUAGUUUGUUGGUAGGGUAAUGGCCUACCAAGACUAUGAUCAAUAGCUGAUUUGAGAGGAUGAUCAGCCACAUUGGGACUGAGACACGGCCCAAACUCCUACGGGAGGCAGCAGUGGGGAAUCUUGCACAAUGGAGGAAACUCUGAUGCAGCGAUGCCGCGUGAGUGAAGAAGGCCUUUGGGUUGUAAAGCUCUUUCGUCGGGGAAGAAAAUGACUGUACCCGAAUAAGAAGGUCCGGCUAACUUCGUGCCAGCAGCCGCGGUAAUACGAAGGGACCUAGCGUAGUUCGGAAUUACUGGGCUUAAAGAGUUCGUAGGUGGUUGAAAAAGUUGGUGGUGAAAUCCCAGAGCUUAACUCUGGAACUGCCAUCAAAACUUUUCAGCUAGAGUAUGAUAGAGGAAAGCAGAAUUUCUAGUGUAGAGGUGAAAUUCGUAGAUAUUAGAAAGAAUACCAAUUGCGAAGGCAGCUUUCUGGAUCAUUACUGACACUGAGGAACGAAAGCAUGGGUAGCGAAGAGGAUUAGAUACCCUCGUAGUCCAUGCCGUAAACGAUGUGUGUUAGACGUGGAAAUU